rnacentral:rRNA from 1 species
ACGAAGGGGGCUAGCGUUGCUCGGAAUGACUGGGCGUAAAGGGCGCGUAGGCGGAUGACAUAGUCGGGCGUGAAAUUCCUGGGCUCAACCUGGGGACUGCGUUCGAGACGUGUUGUCUUGAGUUCGGAAGAGGGUCGUGGAAUUCCCAGUGUAGAGGUGAAAUUCGUAGAUAUUGGGAAGAACACCGGUGGCGAAGGCGGCGACCUGGUCCGAUACUGACGCUGAGGCGCGAAAGCGUGGGGAGCAAACAGGAUUAGAUACCCUGGUAGUCCACGCUGUAAACGAUGUGCGCUGGAUGUUGGGUGACCUAGUCACUCAGUGUCGUAGCUAACGCGAUAAGCGCACCGCCUGGGGAGUACGGCCGCAAGGUUG